AGCUAGGCUGGCCUGAGACUCCCUGCUCCCUCCUGAUGGACAGACAGAUGAAGACAGAGUGAGACAGACAAAAAGAUCAGUGUGGACAAGGUGUGGCACGACACCAGGCUCAGGUUGUUGGGCACGGUGCAGUCCUGUGUGUGAUUAGUGUUGACUGUACAAUCCCUUUAUAGCAGGCAGCACUAAGCCCUCAGGCCUACUACACAAUCAACAUGAGUGCCAAUGAGCAUUAGAUCGAAUCAUUCUGGCCUUUUUAUCACAGAGCUGCAGCACAGGCAUGUGUGCGAGGAGAUUAACUCCUCUUUCAUACUUUCACUUUCAUUUCUCAACUAUUUGAGACAUGUGAACUUGUAAAACUGGUUGCCGGGUCUCAUGCAAAUUUAGGCAACUAGUUUCAACCAAGACUUCUGAGUAAUAGUCCACUGGGAGGUUUUAACAGCAACAAUCUGCUGUGUUACUUUGUGACAUAAUGAGAGGUGGUGUAAAGGGCAGCGUUCUUCCAAAGCAAACAGAAAUAAAGCUUUCAAGAGUUUCGGCCAAACACAGAAAGACUGAUUUUUAAAAAAAAAUAUAUACUUCUCAGUGAAGCCAAGUAGAAACAAAACACUCACAGAGCAACAGAGACUGAAGCAUAAUAUUUUAUUGAACUAUUGUAUUUAUGUGAUCUUGGGGAACUGUCAACUUCCAGAGGAACAACUUUAUGAAUGCCAUUAAGGCAAACAAUGCAACAAGUCACGAGGAUCAGAGCGUCUCGUGGAAAUGACAACAGGGUUGUGUAUAAAGGUCACUACAGAUCAACUUCAGACAUACACACUAAGUAAAUUAUUUUGUAAAGAUAUGCUUUGUAACUAUGAUGUUCAAGGUGGCUGAAACAAAAAAAA